GAUGAACGCUGGCGGCGUGCCUAAUACAUGCAAGUCGAGCGAACAGACGAGGAGCUUGCUCCUCUGACGUUAGCGGCGGACGGGUGAGUAACACGUGGAUAACCUACCUAUAAGACUGGGAUAACUUCGGGAAACCGGAGCUAAUACCGGAUAAUAUAUUGAACCGCAUGGUUCAAUAGUUAAAGACGGUUUUGCUGUCACUUAUAGAUGGAUCCGCGCCGCAUUAGCUAGUUGGUAAGGUAACGGCUUACCAAGGCGACGAUGCGUAGCCGACCUGAGAGGGUGAUCGGCCACACUGGAACUGAGACACGGUCCAGACUCCUACGGGAGGCAGCAGUAGGGAAUCUUCCGCAAUGGGCGAAAGCCUGACGGAGCAACGCCGCGUGAGUGAUGAAGGUCUUCGGAUCGUAAAACUCUGUUAUUAGGGAAGAACAAAUGUGUAAGUAACUAUGCACGUAUUGACGGUACCUAAUCAGAAAGCCACGGCUAACUACGUG
rnacentral:rRNA from 1 species